rnacentral:tRNA from 1 species
AGCCUAUUAGUUUAAUUGGCCGAACACUUUGUGCUUGCACAAAUGAUGUAGGUUCGAAUCCUACAUAGACUC